CCUACUUUUAACAUAUUGAACUAGUGGUUAACUGGAAAGAUCCACUUAUAAGUGUUGUAGCUGCUGUAAUUAUCUUACAUUUUAAAAUAUUUCUUAAGCGCCUGUUUGUAACACACAUCACCUUUUGUCAAAUAAAGUUUAAGUGGGCCUAAAAAAAACCCCUAAACUUUAGUUUUCAUAGAAACAUAGGUUUAUUUUUAAAAGUACAGUAUAAAAAAGUCACCUAACUGAC